AGUACACCAAUACAAUGGUCAAGGGAAAACAUUUUAAGUAAAAAAACCCUUAUAUAAAGGUGAAGAACUUUGAUUGCCAAAAAAGAAGAUAAUAAGCCCAGAUCCAAUUGUAUACAACAAGUUCAUAAUUAAAACUAUUGCAAAUUCGUACAUACAUCCGUACCAACAAAAGCAACUAAAAUACCACCAAAUGAACAGUAAAAUAAAUGGUGGAAAGCAGAAAAUAUAACAAACAAGCUGCACAUUCAUCAACAACAAAUGAACAUCCUGCUUCAAAUUCUUGCAAGAUCCAGGUUGAGUAACACCAUGCUUCACCUUGUUGAAUAUGAUAAUCCCAGCAACAUCAUUUUUGUGAGGACGCCAUUGAUUUUGGAAUGGGGAAUUAGGGUUUGGGGUUUGGAAGGGUCGAAUUCAAUGAUUAAUUGAUAAAACAAAUGGAAUGUUAAUACCUAUAUGAUGAGUUUUUUUUUUGCUGGAAUGACAGAUCUGAAACACCACAAAUCCGAACCUAGAUUUCGUUUUAGAGAUUUUGUGAUUACUGAUGUUUUUAGAUUUUGUGAAUCCGAGGGUUUGGAUUUGUGAAUUUAAGUUUCAAUUAUAGAGAAGAAAUUUAGGUUUUU
rnacentral:lncRNA from 1 species